AUAAUGGGUCAGCGACUUAUAUUCUGUAGCAAGGUUAACCGAAUAGGGGAGCCGAAGGGAAACCGAGUCUUAACUGGGCGUUAAGUUGCAGGGUAUAGACCCGAAACCCGGUGAUCUAGCCAUGGGCAGGUUGAAGGUUGGGUAACACUAACUGGAGGACCGAACCGACUAAUGUUGAAAAAUUAGCGGAUGACUUGUGGCUGGGGGUGAAAGGCCAAUCAAACCGGGAGAUAGCUGGUUCUCCCCGAAAGCUAUUUAGGUAGCGCCUCGUGAAUUCAUCUCCGGGGGUAGAGCACUGUUUCGGCAAGGGGGUCAUCCCGACUUACCAACCCGAUGCAAACUGCGAAUACCGGAGAAUGUUAUCACGGGAGACACACGGCGGGUGCUAACGUCCGUCGUGAAGAGGGAAACAACCCAGACCGCCAGCUAAGGUCCCAAAGUCAUGGUUAAGUGGGAAACGAUGUGGGAAGGCCCAGACAGCCAGGAUGUUGGCUUAGAAGCAGCCAUCAUUUAAAGAAAGCGUAAUAGCUCACUGGUCGAGUCGGCCUGCGCGGAAGAUGUAACGGGGCUAAACCAUGCACCGAAGCUGCGGCAGCGACGCUUAUGCGUUGUUGGGUAGGGGAGCGUUCUGUAAGCCUGCGAAGGUGUGCUGUGAGGCAUGCUGGAGGUAUCAGAAGUGCGAAUGCUGACAUAAGUAACGAUAAAGCGGGUGAAAAGCCCGCUCGCCGGAAGACCAAGGGUUCCUGUCCAACGUUAAUCGGGGCAGGGUGAGUCGACCCCUAAGGCGAGGCCGAAAGGCGUAGUCGAUGGGAAACAGGUUAAUAUUCCUGUACUUGGUGUUACUGCGAAGGGGGGACGGAGAAGGCUAUGUUGGCCGGGCGACGGUUGUCCCGGUUUAAGCGUGUAGGCUGGUUUUCCAGGCAAAUCCGGAAAAUCAAGGCUGAGGCGUGAUGACGAGGCACUACGGUGCUGAAGCAACAAAUGCCCUGCUUCCAGGAAAAGCCUCUAAGCAUCAGGUAACAUCAAAUCGUACCCCAAACCGACACAGGUGGUCAGGUAGAGAAUACCAAGGCGCUUGAGAGAACUCGGGUGAAGGAACUAGGCAAAAUGGUGCCGUAACUUCGGGAGAAGGCACGCUGAUAUGUAGGUGAAGUCCCUCGCGGAUGGAGCUGAAAUCAGUCGAAGAUACCAGCUGGCUGCAACUGUUUAUUAAAAACACAGCACUGUGCAAACACGAAAGUGGACGUAUACGGUGUGACGCCUGCCCGGUGCCGGAAGGUUAAUUGAUGGGGUUAGCGCAAGCGAAGCUCUUGAUCGAAGCCCCGGUAAACGGCGGCCGUAACUAUAACGGUCCUAAGGUAGCGAAAUUCCUUGUCGGGUAAGUUCCGACCUGCACGAAUGGCGUAAUGAUGGCCAGGCUGUCUCCACCCGAGACUCAGUGAAAUUGAACUCGCUGUGAAGAUGCAGUGUACCCGCGGCAAGACGGAAAGACCCCGUGAACCUUUACUAUAGCUUGACACUGAACAUUGAGCCUUGAUGUGUAGGAUAGGUGGGAGGCUUUGAAGUGUGGACGCCAGUCUGCAUGGAGCCGACCUUGAAAUACCACCCUUUAAUGUUUGAUGUUCUAACGUUGACCCGUAAUCCGGGUUGCGGACAGUGUCUGGUGGGUAGUUUGACUGGGGCGGUCUCCUCCUAAAGAGUAACGGAGGAGCACGAAGGUUGGCUAAUCCUGGUCGGACAUCAGGAGGUUAGUGCAAUGGCAUAAGCCAGCUUGACUGCGAGCGUGACGGCGCGAGCAGGUGCGAAAGCAGGUCAUAGUGAUCCGGUGGUUCUGAAUGGAAGGGCCAUCGCUCAACGGAUAAAAGGUACUCCGGGGAUAACAGGCUGAUACCGCCCAAGAGUUCAUAUCGACGGCGGUGUUUGGCACCUCGAUGUCGGCUCAUCACAUCCUGGGGCUGAAGUAGGUCCCAAGGGUAUGGCUGUUCGCCAUUUAAAGUGGUACGCGAGCUGGGUUUAGAACGUCGUGAGACAGUUCGGUCCCUAUCUGCCGUGGGCGCUGGAGAACUGAGGGGGGCUGCUCCUAGUACGAGAGGACCGGAGUGGACGCAUCACUGGUGUUCGGGUUGUCAUGCCAAUGGCACUGCCCGGUAGCUAAAUGCGGAAGAGAUAAGUGCUGAAAGCAUCUAAGCACGAAACUUGCCCCGAGAUGAGUUCUCCCUGACUCCUUGAGAGUCCUGAAGGAACGUUGAAGACGACGACGUUGAUAGGCCGGGUGUGUAAGCGCAGCGAUGCGUUGAGCUAACCGGUACUAAUGAACCGUGAGGCUUAACCUU
rnacentral:rRNA from 1 species